CCUACGGGAGGCAGCAGUGGGGAAUAUUGGGCAAUGGGCGAAAGCCUGACCCAGCAAUGCCGCGUGAAUGAAGAAGGUCUUAGGAUUGUAAAAUUCUGUCCUAUGGGAAGAAAAAAAUGACGGUACCAUAGGAGGAAGCACCGGCUAACUCGGUGCCAGCAGCCGCGGUAAUACGGAGGGUGCGAGCGUUAAUCGGAAUUACUGGGCGUAAAGCGCUCGUAGGCGGUAUGUCAAGUCAAGGGUGAAAUCCCCGCGCUCAACGUGGGAACUGCCUUUGAAACUGGCAAACUGGAGUGUGUGAGAGGAUAGUGGAAUUCCAGGUGUAGGAGUGAAAUCCGUAGAUAUCUGGAGGAACAUCAGUGGCGAAGGCGACUAUCUGGCACAUAACUGACGCUGAGGAGCGAAAGCGUGGGUAGCAAACAGGAUUAGAUACCCUUGUAGUC
rnacentral:rRNA from 1 species